UUGGUUUCGUAGGUGAACCUGCGGAAGGAUCAUUA
rnacentral:rRNA from 1 species